ensembl:lncRNA
CCCCGGUACCGCCCCGGUACCGCUCCGGUACCGCUCCGGUACCGCCCCGGUACCGCACCGCCCUGGUACCGCCCCGGUACCGCACCGCCCCGGUACCGCACCGCCCCGGUACCGCUCCGGUACCGCACCGCUCCGGUACCGCACCGCCCCGGUACCGCACCGCUCCGGGGCCGAGGGAACCCCCGCCGCAAAACCUGCCUUCACUGACAGCUGCGGGUGAGGGCGGGGGCUCUCUGGGGAGGCAGCCGGGGCGUUCUCCCUUCCUCCCUGCCCACACCGCCGUCAGCCUUUCCCUCCUUUACGUGUUCGUUUUCUGAGAAAACCUUCAUUCCCUUCUCCAUGACAUUUUUUUUUUUCCUUCCUUUCUUAAAUUUUUACUCCCUCUCUGCUUUUUUAACAAAGAGAGUAGGGAUGGAUUACAACGGAGAAUCAUUCCUUUCACGUUACAACACGCUCUCCUGGACUAGGCAAGAGGCAGAAGUGUCAGGGAGUCCCCACGAUGUCCCUUCCCUGAAACGCGAUAAUAAUUCUCCCUCGGCGGAGGGGGAUGGCUGCAUCUGCAACCCAGUUCUACACUCCCACCUACCGGGAAGCCGGCAGCAGCAGCGCUGCCUCUCAGCACGGCGUACCUCACCUUCCCUAACUACAUUUCUGUAGGGAAAUGGGACAAGCGCGGCGGUGGCCCCAGGCACCUCUUUCCCCGCCGUUUUCAGUAAGGAGGCCACGGCUCGCAGCUGAGGUGAGCGGAGAGAGGAGGAGGGAUGUCCGGGCAGCGGCAGAUGCAGCCCGCUACCGAUCCAGGCGAGAAAAUACAAAGUCUGACUACCCACUCCAAGGCUGUAAACACAUAAUAAAGGAGGAGGUGGCAUCAUAGAUCAUGCCACUGAAAGCCGCUGCUCGUUGUAGUCUCAAAGAUUAAAAGAACAAACAAACAAAAUACCUUUAAAAUCGCUAUGCAGGUCAAUUUUAAUUGCACUGCUUGUACCGACAACAGCCAGGACAUCUCCAUUUCUGCUCUUAGAAGAGGAACCAGUUGGAGCAGAGAUGAAAGUAAUUCAGUUUAUCACUUUGUUUCUGUGAUAAGAAAACAGACAACACGACAGUCCAACAGGCUGAAGGUAACAGCAGAGUACUGCAUUUGGAAAUACAUAGUAACUUUGAGGAGAAAGAGGCUGGUGGAGAACAUCAAGAUUCAUCUCCUAGUUUUACUUUCUGGGAGUGCUUCAACAUUGCUGAAGACUGUGGCAGACUAUCCACCUCUGCAUAACGAGCUCUUUCACAUCAGGGGACAGAUUUUUUCUUCUUCUAGCAACUCAUAGAAUAUCUCAUGUUGGAAGAGAUCUGUAAGAAUCAUAAAGUCCAACUCCCUUCUCUUUGUGGAACUACCUAAAAAUACACCAUAUCAUGGUGUCAUCCAAUCCUUUAACUCCUGACUUGGGGACUGCUUCCCUGAGGAGUACGUUCUGGUGACCAACCACCCUCUCAUCAGUGAAGAAGCUUGUCCUGAUGUCCAGUCUGAACAUUAGCAGUUGCAGCUUCCUGCCAUUUCCUUGUGCCCUAUUUCUAGUCCCUGGAGAGAGGAGACCAGCACCUGCCCCUCCACUGCCUGCAGUACUGGAGGGCACAGAGAAAGUCUGGGCUUUGUGGCCAGCCAUCCGCACACCCAACAGAUAUUCAACACUGAAUCUUGAAGUGAGAUCUCCACUCAACAAAAACCCAAAAACAACAACCAACCAAAAACAAACUAAAAAGCACACCAAAAACAAGACAAACCCCAAACAAACAAAUAAAAAUAUUAAAUAAAAAAAUUAUAGAGAGCCA